CUCUGCAUCAUGUAUAUAUGUACUCUCUUUGUGCAGGAUUCCUGCAGAGGUCCAAAGAAGUCAUCAGAUCUCCUGGAACUGAAGGGACACAUAGUUUGGAGACAACUAAGGGAUGCUAAGAACUGCAUACAAGUGUCUUUAAGAUAAGCAAGUACUACUCAUCACUGGGGCAUCUCUUCAAUGCUCCUCUUAUCCCAUUUUCACACUCCCUGGAACUCCUCACUAAUCUUACCUCAAUUCCUCCAAAUGAUACAUGGUCUUUUGCUACAGUUUUUCUCUCUACUUUACAGGAUUUUUUGCUUUUGCUUUUAGCUUAUCAGUUAGACAACCAUAUAAGAAAAGCAUUCUUCAGAAUUAAUUAGAAUUUCUAAUACAUUACAGUACCAGUACAGAAAGGGGAAUCUACAAAUGAAUCUCCAAUAGCUGUAUAGUAGAAGAAUAUUGAAAAUGUUCUGUAAGAAUUUUCAGUUAGCUUUGACUUGAGUUCUACCACUUCCAAUUACAGAUCAAGCAAUCUUGGAAGCUGAAAAGGAACUCAAUGAUGAGAAUGACAAUAACUAACACUUCUGAACUUCUUAAUCUAUCACGGAAGGAAGCUUUAUACCUCCCAAAAGGAUGAACAGGAAGAACAUAAUGAAUGUUUUUUCCCUCUGAGGAUUUCUCUGUGACAGGGUCCUCAGUUGAUUCACAGGUGAGCAGAUCUGGCUUUGGGAGACCUGCAUAUGGGAAGGAAAUACUUCAGAGAGUACUUGGAACUUUUCGUAGAAAAAAAGCUUACAUCUGCCAAAGGAUAAACAUGAAGCAAAGACAAAAUAGCAUGGCAAUUGUCUCUUUCUCUGAGGAUUUCACUUUCCUCCAUGAAAUGUGAAACUUAAUCAAACAGAGUUCACACACAUGAAGAGUUGUUUCCCAGUAACUCUGAGGAGGAGCAAGGAAGACUGCAAGAUAAUUAUGCCGACCCACAGAAUCCAGACUGAUGUACUUUUACAAAAGGAGGUCUUUAAAAAAAAAGUCCUGACAACACGGUCGAGGCAAGAAAUCCAGUCACAGAAUUCAGUGUCAACAAACCAUGAAAUAACUGUUUGCCCACAUGUGCUCUUCUUGAACUAAGGAGAAAUGUUUCUGAUGUAAGUGAGCAAUCAUAACUAUUCAAAAACUGC
rnacentral:sRNA from 1 species